ACCGAAAAGUUUAGAUUUAAUUUUAAGUAAGCUAGUUUUGUAAAUACGAGUAGUAUAUUAAAACUUAAGAUUGGUUGUGAUAAAUAAGUCGUUAAACUUUAUAUCUGUUUGGGAAAAAGUUUGUUUUUAGAUUUAUUUGGUGAUGAUAUCAAGUAAAUAAAUAUAGCUAUAUUAAUAUGUAAAUGAGGAUAGGGUUAAAAUUACCUUUUUAUUGAGCGUAUGUUACAAUUGCUAAUUUUAUUUAUUAUUUAUAGCUUAUUAUUAAAAUUUCCCUAAAUUUAAUUAAGUGAAGUUAAUUAUCAUAUAAUAAGUAAUUAUAUUAGUCUCUUUGUUUUUCAUUUACAUCCCGUCUGUUUAUUAAAAACAUUUCCAUAUUAUUAACUUUAUAUGGUAGUACCUGCUCUAUGUGUUAUAAAUGGCCGCAGUAUCUUGACUGUGCGAAGGUAGCAUAAUUAAUUGUCUUUUAAAUGGGGGCUUGUUUGAAUGGUUUGACGAGGUUGUUUUUAACAUGGAGAUUUUUUUUUGAAAUUGAUGGUGUGAAUACAGAAUUUACAUUAUUUAAUUAGACGGAAAGACCCUAGGAUCUUUACAUAUUUUGCUUGGGGCAAGUAAAAAUAAUUUAUUUGUUUUUUGACCCUUGAUAAGUCUAUAGGUUUAAGUUACCCUAGGGAUAACAGAGUGAUAGUUUAUUAGAGUUCUUAUCGAUUAAACUGUUUGCUACCUCGAUGUUGACUUGGGUUAAUGUUCUGGCGCAGUAGUUAGAAGUU
rnacentral:rRNA from 1 species